rnacentral:rRNA from 1 species
CUCCAGUUGAUCGCAUGGUCUUCUGGGAAAGCUUUCGCGGUAUGGGAUGGGGUCGCGUCCUAUCAGCUUGACGGCGGGGUAACGGCCCACCGUGGCUUCGACGGGUAGCCGGCCUGAGAGGGCGACCGGCCACAUUGGGACUGAGAUACGGCCCAGACUCCUACGGGAGGCAGCAGUGGGGAAUAUUGCACAAUGGGCGCAAGCCUGAUGCAGCGACGCCGCGUGAGGGAUGGAGGCCUUCGGGUUGUAAACCUCUUUUAUCGGGGAGCAAGCGAGAGUGAGUUUACCCGUUGAAUAAGCACCGGCUAACUACGUGCCAGCAGCCGCGGUAAUACGUAGGGUGCAAGCGUUAUCCGGAAUUAUUGGGCGUAAAGGGCUCGUAGGCGGUUCGUCGCGUCCGGUGUGAAAGUCCAUCGCUUCACGGUGGAUCCGCGCCGGGUACGGGCGGG